rnacentral:misc_RNA from 1 species
GAUGAAGAACGUAGCGAAAUGCGAUAAGUAAUGUGAAUUGCAGAAUUCAGUGAAUCAUCGAAUCUUUGAACGCACAUUGCGCCCAUUAGCAUUCUAGUGGGCAUGCCUGUUCGAGCGUCAUUUCAACCCUUAAGCCCUGUUGCUUAGCGUUGGGAGCCUACAGUACUGUAGCUCCCCAAAGUUAGUGGCGGAGUCGGUUUCACACUCUAGACGUAGUAAUUUUUUCUCGUCUGUAGUUGAGCCGGUCCCCUGCCGUAAAACACCCAAUUUAUCAAGGUUGACCUCGGAUCAGGUAGGAAUACCCGCUGAACUUAAGCAUAUAAAUAAGCGGAGGA